AUUGAACGCUGGCGGCAGGCCUAACACAUGCAAGUCGAGCGAGCGGCGGACGGGUGAGUAAUGUAUGGGGACUGCCCGAUAGAGGGGGAUAACUACUGUAACCGGUGGCUAAUACCGCAUACUAUCGGAUAACCCAGAUGGGAUUAGCUAGUGGGUGGGGAAAAGGCUCACCUAGGCGACGAUGCCUAGCUGGUCUGAGAGGAUGAUCGGCCACACUGGGACUGAGACACGGCCCAGACUCCUACGGAGGCAGCAGUGGGGAAUAUUGGGCAAUGGGCGAAAGCCUGAUGCAGCCAUGCCGCGUGUAUGAAGAAGGCCUUAGGGUUGUAAAGUACUUUCAUCGGGGAGGCGGUACCCGCAGAAGAAGCACCGGCUAACUCCGUGCCAGCAGCCGCGGUAAUAC
rnacentral:rRNA from 1 species